UACGUAGGGGGCAAGCGUUGUCCGGAUUUAUUGGGCGUAAAGCGCUCGCAGGUGGUUCGUCGCGUCGUGCGUGAAAGACCCCGGCUCAACUGGGGAGGGUCGUGCGAUACGGGCGGACUGGAGGCCAGUAGGGGGAUGCGGAAUUCCGGGUGUAGUGGUGGAAUGCGUAGAGAUCCGGAGGAACACCAGCGGCGAAGGCGGCGUCCUGGACUGGUACUGACGCUCAGGAGCGAAAGCGUGGGGAGCGAUCCGG
rnacentral:rRNA from 1 species